UAAAGUGACGUCAGUGCAGGCGAGGGCUGCCAGGAGACGAGGCUGUUGGAAAGAAACCAGACCCUUGGAAUCGAGCGAAAGAGACAGAGGGACCAAGAAAGGAAGAGAGACACAGAGAGACAGAGAAGGAAAGAAAGAGUGAGCGAAGGAGAGGAGUGAGGGGGUACAGGGCGAAAUAAAGGAUAGAAGGAGAAGAGAUUGCAAGUAGGUGCAGCUUUUCAAGACAGCUUUUUCCCCAUCUUGGAAAUAUUAGAAUGCUCUAACCCCAUGGAUCGGUGCAGAAAGCCAUUGCGAUGCCGAGGAUUGGCAUCUCUUCUUAAGAGACCCGUUAUAUUUGCCGAGCCCGCGUUACUGCCGCUGCUGCCGAUUGCCAUUCCACUGCUGUAUUUCCACGGCUGCUCUGAAAAGAACAAUCAAUGCUUUUGACUAUACUGAAGCAGGCUUCCAGUGCUCCCACUACAUCUAUUUGGGCGCAAAAAAAGCAAAAACGAAGAUUUUUCACUAUACAAAAGUGGGGAGUUUCUUUCCCUUUUGUGUCUGAUCUUCCAAACUACAAGAUGCAGGCAGUCGGGCGUUUGUGGAAGACCUGUGGCGGAGAGGGAGUCGGUUGCUAUCUUUGGUUAUCUAGCUGUAUGAGUGUUAUUCAGCCGUCAUAAAGCUAGAUAACCGAAAGUAGAAAUGACUUCCAAACCUGCGUACUGAUCAAGUCAAAAAGCAAGUCAGAAAGGAAGAACGAAGAUACACGAAAUGACCGACAUCUAAGGUGAGAAGAUAAAGCAACUCACGAAGACUUCAAACAAGGACAUCAAUGAUCUAUGCAGUCUUUUAUUGACCAAGGAAUGGCCUGAUUUUGAACCUGGCCCUGGAACCACAGCAUUGUGGAGGAUGUCAGUGUAAAGCAAGUGCCUUGAUGGAGGAAGGAAAAAAGGGUCGUUAUUAAAAAAAAAAAAAUUUUAUAUUUUUAAAUGCCAACCUCCCUGCUCCCAAUACUGCCCCUUCCCCCUAACCCCCCUCCGGAGACUCUAGUGCCAUCUGUGCCCCCUGAGAAUCAGAGCGAGAGAGAGAAACGCUCCCACUGAUGCCAACUCGGAGAAAGCCGCUGCCGUCAUCCGCCCUGCCAGAUGCCAUUUUGUGUGCCGGAGGACUCCUGUGUGUGUGGGUGUGCUGAGGAGGCCAUCUUGUAAAGAAAUCCUCACUGCUGCUCCUAAAAUGGCUGUGUUGGCACGAGAUUCACAUUGCCAGCUGUACAAGCAUCAAUCCGUUAAGAAGCCAUGCCCGCUGCUUUGUUCCAAGACAGCCUGGAAAGAGACUGGAUCACUCUGUAGGACACGGGACUUGAGCAAGCCUGCUGAUUGUGGAUUUUCUUUUUGCAAAGGAAGAGCCUGGGUUGACUUGUGAACUCACUGCUGUACAGGGGAUGAGCCUUCACCGCAUCGGGAUGAACACUGAACAUCACACAGAAGAUUUGAAGAUGCAAACUCAAAAUAAAAGACUUGCAGUUUUAAUGACUCUCAGCCCGCGCGUGAUUCCACAAUAACUGAUUGUAUCCCUAUUUGAAUUCACCUUCUUGAGGAAACAGUUGGAUAAUGUAUUUAUCCUAUUACAUAUCAUUGAUAUAAAUACAGCAGAUAUUCAGAUCAUUUAGGAUUCUCCAUAUAACAGGAGUACUGUAUGUUUCAGCAUUUUUUGUGAUCUGAAUGUUUAAAACUAGAUUCACCAUUUACAUAACCGUUAGAUUACAAAGUGCAAAGCCAAUUUUCAUUAGGAGGUAAGAAGGCUCAUUUGCGGAUCAGCUUUAUGGAUUGUACCCCUGUGGCAUGGCUGGGGUUCCCUCAUUGGAAAAGAAGCCCCAAUAUAUACUUGCCUGAAGUGUGGCUCCAAUGAAGUGAUAACUAGAGGGGGGAUCAAGUAUACAAGGAGAGUGCAACAUUGGUAUGAGAUGAUAAAUAUGAUGGUUUUCGUAUCAUGAGUGAGAUGUUUGUCUCCUAGUACACUUGAAGCAUCCUAUAGUUAUAGCUCUCAAGUGCAUUUGAAUAAACAGUCAGUAACGUGCUGCUGCCACUCUGAGUGUGAUAACAGAACCGGCCGUUAAGAGGCAGGCUGUGCUGUGCUGUGAAUGGGAGUCUUUGUGACGUUGCUUAGUGCAGGAUUUAGAAUCACAGUGAAAGUGAAUGGCACUUUCUACUUCUCAUAGAGUGUGUCUAAGCUUGCCUGAAUUAAAGGCACACUUGUCCCACUCAUCUAGAAGGUGUUACAGGGCGCUUAUCGUGAUUUCCCAGCUCCUCCACCCGAGCAGCGACAACAGACUCCCAAAUAACAAACCUGCCACCCUGCCAGCAUGCCAGCCCCCUCCAGCAUGGAGACUGUGACACAGGCCCUCCACUCCACACAGCCUGGCACUUCACGAAUGCGUCACACUCCUAUAUUUAGCAGCUACCGAUGUAUUUCAGUAGGGAGUUUGCUCAUCAGGAGAUAAAAAAAGGAAACCGCUCAGUCACUUUAAAAUUCUGACGAGAGCUGGGUGAGGCAAGGAAAGAAACCGAGAUGGAUUUGGUAGACCUAAUACCGGCAUGUGUGCCAGCGUGCUUGUGUGUGAGUGUGUGGGUUCAGAGUACCUGUAAUAGAAAUCAAGAACAAAACAUUCAUAUGUUUCUGUGAUUGAGGAAUCAAAUGAACAACUUGGAUUGUGUCUUUUAAACAGUUCAAGAUAUCAUAUAUGUGGGCGCCCACCUGUGCUAUUUCUAGAAUGCAGUUCAGCUCAGUCUAGUCAAUGUGACGCUAAUCAAUCUGAUCACAGAGCAGCAUGUUCGCAGGCUCCCUUCAAAGAGCUGCGAGCAGGGAAAUUGCUUUGUGCCACAGUGGUGGAGUUCAUAUAACCUUGUCAAAGCAAAGGAAGAAAAUUAACAGUCAGUUGAUGUACCUGAGACUCCAUUUAAAAGCAAGCAUUGUUUAUAUUAGACAUACAAAAGUUGAUGGAAUUGGCAUUCAAAUUGCAGAAUAAAAUACCCUGUUUCUUUUUUAUUUAAUUAAAAAAUAUUACAAUUGGAUAUCAUUGUGAUGCCACGAUCCAAGCAUGUCCCCUUGUGUGUUUAUUGUGAUAUCCACAACUGUGUGAUUGAAGUUCUUACCACAUCCACGAUCCAUUAUAUAUAAUGCUGAACACCAUAUAUAUAUAUAUAUAUAUAUAUAUAUAUAUAUAUAUAUAUAUAUAUAUAUAUAUAUAUAUAUAGCUUUUGGCUGUAUUCUAUAUGUGCUUUUAUGAAUAAAUACACACCGUUUUGAAAUAAGCAACAGAAAUCAGUAAAAUAAAAUAAAAUAUGUUUACAAAUACAUAUCCUGGAACACGUGAUUAGGUCAUGCAGUAAUCGUGUUAGACAAUUAUUCCCGUGGAGACAGUGAAACAUAUUGAGUCUUGUGUGCGGGGACACGCUGGAGUCGCAUGGGAAGCAGUGUCUUAAUGAAUGCAGUGCUUACAGAAGAAAUCAAGGGCUUCUUUUAGCAGGAUAACAUGAUCGUGAGCAAACACAGGCCUGGGGCUGCUGAAAACCACCUGUGGAGAUGAGUUAGAGCAUGCCAGCAUCGUGCCUUAAAACUGCUGCAAAUAAACACCAUACAUUGCAUGUUCAUGUGUGGCCUGGUCUAUAUGCAUUUAGGCAGUAGAGCAUGACAGGGUGUGUUUCGUUGUGGGAUAUCGCCAUGCUUCUGACUAUGGGUCAAUUUCAAAGACAAAACUACUUUUAAAGAGAACCCUGGCGAUGCUCCGAGAUAUCGUCACGGCUAUGACAUCACAUAGUGUAUUGAAAAAAAAUAGGACGGUCCUUGCCGUUGUAUAAUAAUCCAUUUUAAUUCAAGGCCAGCUAUAAUGGGCCCUCAAUAUCGUACUGAAACAUGCUACUGUGAAAACAUGUAUCAGAUUUUGUUUUGUAUUUAAUGCAUAUUUAUAUUGUAAAGUAAUUGAAAAAACUGAUAAUAAUUAGCUGAAACGUUCCAGCUCAUUAUUAAUAUAGACUUAUCAGUUUAUCAAUUACUUUAUUAAGUAUUUGAUCCGGAUUCUCCUGUUUUUGAAUUCUUUGUACUCUCUCUGUAGACAUUAUUUGAAAAUAUGAAAUGAUGUUUUGCCUUGAUAAAGGGUUUAUAAACAGCUGUGUACACUUUUUCUACGCAAGUAUAUGUUCGUUUUCAAUAAUAAAAAUAAAUAAAUAAAUAAAAACUAUA